ACUGUCCUCAGNGCCGUNUUCCGUCNUUCGCGAUNGAACCGGUNGGCGUCGUCCACGAAGGGGCGCUGGCGGUCAGCGWGGAGCGUCGGUCGCCCACCCGACCCGUCUUGAAACACGGACCAAGGAGUYUAACACGUGCGCGAGUCGCAGGGUCGANCGAAACCCUUGGGCGAAGUGAAGGUGAAAGGCGGCCCGGUCCGCCCGAGGUGGGAUCCCGUUCGCUCGAGGGCGGCGGGCGCACCACCGGCCGAUCUCGUCCGCUCUGUCGGUGAGGUCGAGCAGGAGCGCACGCGUUGGGACCCGAAAGAUGGUGAACUAUGCCCGAGCAGGGCGAAGCCAGAGGAAACUCUGGUGGAAGCCVGCAGCGAUUCUGACGUGCAAAUCGAUCGUCAAACUUGGGUAUAGGGGCGAAAGACUAA
rnacentral:rRNA from 1 species